AUUGAACGCUGGCGGCAUGCCUUACACAUGCAAGUCGAACGGUAACAGGUCUUCGGAUGCUGACGAGUGGGGAACGGGUGAGUAAUACAUCGGAACGUGCCUAGUAGUGGGGGAUAACUACUCGAAAGAGUGGCUAAUACCGCAUGAGAUCUACGGAUGAAAGCAGGGGACCGCAAGACCUUGCGCUACUAGAGUGGCCGAUGGCAGAUUAGGUAGUUGGUGGGAUAAAAGCUUACCAAGCCGACGAUCUGUAGCUGGUCUGAGAGGACGAUCAGCCACACUGGGACUGAGACACGGCCCAGACUCCUACGGGAGGCAGCAGUGGGGAAUUUUGGACAAUGGGCGAAAGCCUGAUCCAGCAAUGCCGCGUGCAGGAUGAAGGCCUUCGGGUUGUAAACUGCUUUUGUACGGAACGAAAAGCCCCGGGUUAAUACCCUGGGGUCAUGACGGUACCGUAAGAAUAAGCACCGGCUAACUACGUGCCAGCCGCCGCCGUAA
rnacentral:rRNA from 1 species